UACGUAGGGGGGCGAGCGUUGUCCGGAUUUAUUGGGCGUAAAGAGCGUGUAGGCGGCCAGGUAGGUCUGCUGUGAAAACUCGAGGCUCAACCUCGAGACGUCGGCGGAAACCAUCUGGCUAGAGUCCGGAAGAGGAGAGUGGAAUUCCUGGUGUAGCGGUGAAAUGCGCAGAUAUCAGGAAGAACACCCGUGGCGAAGGCGGCUCUCUGGACAGGUUCUGACGCUGAGACGCGAAAGCGUGGGUAGCAAACAGG
rnacentral:rRNA from 1 species